rnacentral:rRNA from 1 species
UGGGGAAUAUUGGACAAUGGGGGCAACCCUGAUCCAGCAAUGCCGCGUGAGUGAAGAAGGCCUUAGGGUUGUAAAGCUCUUUCGCCCGUGACGAUGAUGACGGUAACGGGAGAAGAAGCCCCGGCUAAUUCCGUGCCAGCAGCCGCGGUAAUACGGAAGGGGCUAGCGUUGUUCGGAUUUACUGGGCGUAAAGCGCAUGUAGGCGGCGGAUCAAGUGGGGCGUGAAAGGCCUGGGCUCAACCUGGGAACUGCGCUUCAGACUGGUUUGCUCGAGUUCGGGAGAGGGUGGUGGAAUUCCCAGUGUAGAGGUGAAAUUCGUAGAUAUUGGGAGGAACACCGGUGGCGAAGGCGGCCACCUGGCCCGAGACUGACGCUCAAGUGCGAAAGCGUGGGGAGCAAACA